UACAGAGGUCUCAAGCGUUUGUUCGGAUUCAUUGGGCGUAAAGGGUGUGUAGGUGGCGCCGUAAGUCGGGUGUGAAAUUUCGGAGCUUAACUCCGAAACUGCAUUCGAUACUGCGGUGCUUUGAGGACUGGGAGAGGAGACUGGAAUUCAUGGUGUAGCAGUGAAAUGCGUAGAGAUCAUGAGGAAGACCAGUGGCGAAGGCGGGUCUCUGGGCUGACACUGACGCUCAUGCACGAAAGCGUGGGGAGCAAACAGG
rnacentral:rRNA from 1 species